AGAGUUUGAUCCUGGCUCAGAUUGAACGCUGGCGGAAUGCUUUACACAUGCAAGUCGAACGGGGCUUGGGGGCUUGCUCCCAAGCUUAGUGGCGAACGGGUGAGUAAUGCGUCGGAACGUACCGAGUAAUGGGGGAUAACCCGGCGAAAGUCGGAUUAAUACCGCAUACGUCCUUAGGGAGAAAGCAGGGGAUCGCAAGACCUUGCGUUAUUCGAGCGGCCGACGUCUGAUUAGCUAGUUGGUGAGGUAAUGGCUCACCAAGGCGACGAUCAGUAGCGGGUCUGAGAGGAUGAUCCGUCACACUGGGACUGAGACACGGCCCAGACUCCUACGGGAGGCAGCAGUGGGGAAUUUUGGACAAUGGGGGAAACCCUGAUCCAGCCAUUCCGCGUGAGUGAAGAAGGCCUUCGGGUUGUAAAGCUCUUUCAGCAGGAACGAAACGGUACGCUCUAACAUAGCGUGCUAAUGACGGUACCUGCAGAAGAAGCACCGGCUAACUACGUGCCAGCAGCCGCGGUAAUACGUAGGGUGCGAGCGUUAAUCGGAAUUACUGGGCGUAAAGCGUGCGCAGGCGGACUGUUAAGCAAGAUGUGAAAUCCCCGGGCUUAACCUGGGAAUGGCAUUUUGAACUGGCAGUCUAGAGUGUGUCAGAGGGGGGUGGAAUUCCACGUGUAGCAGUGAAAUGCGUAGAGAUGUGGAGGAACACCAAUGGCGAAGGCAGCCCCCUGGGAUAACACUGACGCUCAUGUACGAAAGCGUGGGUAGCAAACAGGAUUAGAUACCCUGGUAGUCG
rnacentral:rRNA from 1 species